UACGGAGGGGGCUAGCGUUGUUCGGAAUUACUGGGCGUAAAGCGCACGUAGGCGGCUUUGCAAGUUAGAGGUGAAAGCCCGGGGCUCAACUCCGGAAUUGCCUUUAAAACUGCAUCGCUAGAAUUGUGGAGAGGUAAGUAGGAAUUCCGAGUGUAGAGGUGAAAUUCGAUAGAUAUUCGGAAGAACACCAGUGGCGAAGGCGACUCACUGGCCCGUUACUGACGCUGAGGCGCGAAAGCGUGGGGAGCAACAGG
rnacentral:rRNA from 1 species